UAACACGUCCCGUCAGACCAAAGCCAAAUGCUUCUCAUCCCGUACUCCAAUCUGGCCCUGUGUUAGCUCGGACAAGCUAAUAUCAGAACAACAAGGCAUUUGCACAAAACAUUCGCUUUAUUUAUCUUAUAUAAUAUCUGGUUUACAAUACACAAAAUAUUAUACAAGUGGUGGCAUGCCAAGAAAGCGAAAGUACAUACUUAUAGUCUUAAAGCGUCUUAAGCAAAAAGAUGCAAAUCUACACCAGCCUGCCUAGCCUCCCGCAACCUCUACAAGCUCGCUACUGGUCACCUGAAACAACAACGAGUGAGGAGUGAGUAAUCUAGCAUUACUCAGCGAGUUACAAUCCCCGGCUAACAAAUUCAACCCCUCACUAUCCCACCCCAAACAAUCUAAAGCGAGAGGUUCACCUAACAACACAAUUCAAUAACAAUAAGCAAUAUCCGAAAUACGCAGCGGAAAACGAUAGCAAGAUAACUAGCAUUA
rnacentral:lncRNA from 1 species